rfam:Triticum aestivum genome assembly, contig: Triticum_aestivum_CS42_TGACv1_scaffold_019182_1AS
AUUAGAGUGGCGUAGCGGAAGCGUGGUGGGCCCAUAACCCAUAGGUCCCAAGAUCGAAACUUGGCUCUGAUA